rnacentral:rRNA from 1 species
UAGGGAAUCUUCCACAAUGGGCGAAAGCCUGAUGGAGCAACGCCGCGUGUGUGAUGAAGGGUUUCGGCUCGUAAAACUCUGUUGGUAGAGAAGAACGUUGGUGAGAGUGGAAAGCUCAUCAAGUGACGGUAACUACCCAGAAAGGGACGGCUAACUACGUGCUAG